GGAAUAAAUGUGUUAAAGCAACAGAGACAUUCAAGAACAUUCAUUAUAUCUGGUGUGCAGUAUGUACAAAAGAGUAAUAAACAAGGAAGCUAUUAAGCUGGGAUGUUCUAGAUCGUGUAGGUACAUGUACCUGCUAAGCAGUACAGACUUUGUCAGCAUGGGGAGACAUUAGGGGGUUUUAAAUGAGGGAGUAAUAGGAUGAGAUUUACAUAUGAGAAAAAUUCCUCUGGUAAUUACUGUAAUGGAUGGCUUUAGGAGGUUAGACAAAAAAUAACAAUGGACUAGGAUAGUAGCAGUGAAGAUGGAGAGAACGGGACAAAUUUGAGAAUUAUUUGGAAGACUAAAUGAGCAAAAAUCGGCGAGAAAGAAAAGGAAAGAGUGACAGAGAGAUUGAAUAUUGUAAUAUAUCAAGGGGGAAGGAGUCAAUAAAAAAAUUAGAAAUCACAAGAGUUAGGAAGCAAGAAAGGUUCUAGAGCACAGGUGUAUGGAUCAAUAUUGAACGACAACAAGGAAGGUGGUAAAGGAUAGGUGUCAACACAGAUGCUGGCAGGAAACAGCAGAAGAGAAGAAAGUUGAGAUGAAGAAAAAAAUAUGAACGAAGGCAAUGAAGUAAGGGGAAGAUGGAGACAACUUUUAGGGCUUUUACUAUAGGUUCACUGUUUCUAAUAUAACCAUCAGAAUCUUCUGUCACAAAAGGUUACAUGUUGAUGGAAAGAAUACAGGAAAAUAAAUGAGAUCUAAUUUACCAUAUGAGGCUUUAGAAUUUAUUAAAAUCAUUUGUUAUUUAUGUACCAUAUUUAAUCUUUGCCAUGUCUAUAUUCUACCUAUAUUAGUAUUUUUCUCUAGAAAGAAUUUAGUUUUUACUCAGCUUCAUUUCCAUGAAAAUGAAAUAUAAUUUUUCUUAAUAUAUUAAAAAUAUCUUACCUACCUUCAGUGAUAUUAAAAUUCAAUUAUUUCACUUGCUCCAUAUGCCCAUUUUUUUCCAUCACUAACCCUUAGUCUUUAAGCAUGCAGAUCUAAAUUUCCAUUAGUUAGACUGGUACAAGUCUCCUGCGAAUUGUUAAGUCUCUUAUUUCUAUCUCGCUGAUAAUUGCAUCUUCCUAGAAAUGUGAGGAGUGGAGAGCUACUAAAGACUGUUGGAUUAAGGGUUGGGCACGGUGGCUCAUGCCUGUAAUCC
rnacentral:lncRNA from 1 species